UACAGAGGUCCCAAGCGUUGUUCGGAUUCACUGGGCGUAAAGGGUGCGUAGGUGGCUUGGUAAGUUUGAUGUGAAAUCUCCGGGCUUAACCCGGAAAUGGCAUUGAAUACUAUUGAGCUGGAGGUUUGGAGGGGGGACUGGAAUUCUCGGUGUAGCAGUGAAAUGCGUAGAUAUCGAGAGGAACACCAGUGGCGAAGGCGAGUCCCUGGACAACAACUGACACUGAGGCACGAAAGCUAGGGGAGCAAACAGG
rnacentral:rRNA from 1 species